CCUACGGGAGGCAGCAGUGGGGGAUAUUGCACAAUGGGGGAAACCCUGAUGCAGCGACGCCGCGUGGGCGAAGAAGUAUUUCGGUAGGUAAAGCUCUAUCAGCAGGGAAGAAGAAAUGACGGUACCUGAGUAAGAAGCACCGGCUAAAUAGGUGCCAGCGGCCGCGGUAAUACGUAAGGUGCAAGCGUUAUCCGGAUUUACGGGGUGUAAGGGGAGCGUAGGCGGCACGGCAAGCCUGAUGUGAAAGCCCGCGGCCCAAGCGCGGGACUGCAUUGGGAACUACCGGGCUGGAGUGCCGAGGAGGUAGGAGGAAUUCCUAGUGUAGCGGUGAAAUGCGUAGAUAUUAGGCGGAACACCAGUGGCGAAGGCAGCCUACUGGACGGUGACUGACGCUGAGGCUCGAAAGCGUGGGGAGCAAACAGGAUUAGAUACCCUUGUAGUC
rnacentral:rRNA from 1 species